rnacentral:rRNA from 1 species
GACGAACGCUGACGGCGUGCUUAACACAUGCAAGUCGAACGGUGAAGCGCCUUCCUUUUUGGUGGGUGUGGAUGAGUGGCGAACGGGUGAGUAACACGUGAGUAACCUGCCCCCUUCUUCUGGAUAACCGCAUGAAAGUGUGGCUAAUACGGGAUAUUCUGGGUCUGUCGCAUGAUGGGUCUGGGAAAGAUAUUGUUUCGGUGGGGGAUGGGCUCGCGGCCUAUCAGCUUGUUGGUGGGGUGAUGGCCUACCAAGGCGGUGACGGGUAGCCGGCCUGAGAGGGUGGGCGGUCACACUGGGAGUGAGACACGGCGCAGACUCCGACGGGAGGCAGCAGUGGGGAGUAUAGCACAAUGGGCGCAAGCCUGAUGCAGCGACGCCGCGUGAGGGAUGGAGGCCUUCGGGUUGUGAACCUCUUUCGCCAGUGAAGCAGGCCUGCCUCGUUUGUGGGUGGGUUGACGGUAGCUGGAGAAGAAGCGCCGGCUAACUACGUG